GACGAACGCUGGCGGCGUGCUUAACACAUGCAAGUCGAACGGAAAGGCCCUGCUUUUGUGGGGUGCUCGAGUGGCGAACGGGUGAGUAACACGUGAGUAACCUGCCCUUGACUUUGGGAUAACUUCAGGAAACUGGGGCUAAUACCGGAUAGGAGCUCCUGCUGCAUGGUGGGGGUUGGAAAGUUUCGGCGGUUGGGGAUGGACUCGCGGCUUAUCAGCUUGUUGGUGGGGUAGUGGCUUACCAAGGCUUUGACGGGUAGCCGGCCUGAGAGGGUGACCGGCCACAUUGGGACUGAGAUACGGCCCAGACUCCUACGGGAGGCAGCAGUGGGGAAUAUUGCACAAUGGGCGGAAGCCUGAUGCAGAAACGCCGCGUGCGGGAUGACGGCCUUCGGGUUGUAAACCGCUUUCGCCUGUGACGAAGCGUGAGUGACGGUAAUGGGUAAAGAAGCGCCGGCUAACUACGUG
rnacentral:rRNA from 1 species